AUCCUCUGCACUCUAAGAUGUGUAACACAUCCCUGGACUAUACCAGAAGAUAGUAGCACAUCUCAGUUUUGAUGACCAUAAACAUCUUCAGACAUUGCUGAUUGUACCCUGUGUAUGUAUAUCUGAGGCUGAGCGUCAAUAUGGCAUUACCUCCUGAUAGUGGGUGGUGGGUACCAACCUGCUCCCUCAAGGGAAGUAAAGUAUACUGGAUCCCA